UCCCUGGUGGUCCAGUGGUUAAGAUUCCACACUUUGACUGUAGGGGACACAGGUGUGAUCCCUGGCUGGGGAA
rnacentral:tRNA from 1 species